AUGCCGCAGGACACAUUUUCUAUCACCGCGCUUCUACAUUCCGACAUUAUUCAUGGUAAAAGCAAAAUUCAAAUACCACAGAGCUACCAAUCUGAGAAAAGCACAACUAUAGAAAAAAAAUUGCCCUUUUGCUUGCAGGUACACUCAGGAGAUGGGCCUAUGAACAUGGAAGCGGAUGAUAAUUUCCUUUCAGGCAUUUUACUUUCUGAAAUGACAAAAACACAAGGGCCACCCAAAGAAAAUACCCAAAACAAAAUCAAAAUAGUACAAGAAAUGGAAAACACACUUGAUUCAGAUAGAACUUCAAAAGAGAUUUGUCAAACCCCCCUUCAUCACCAGAUAGUUCCUGCAAAAAUAUAUUAA
rnacentral:rRNA from 1 species